UUGGAGGGCAAGUCUGGUGCCAGCAGCCGCGGUAAUUCCAGCUCCAAUAGCGUAUAUUAAAGUUGUUGCAGUUAAAAAGCUCGUAGUUGAAUUUCGGGGUCAGCAGGUUGGUCGUGCCACUGGUAUGAACUGGCCUUGCUGAUUCCUCCUUCUUGAAGAACCGUGAUGCCAUUAAUUUGGUGUUGCGGGGAAACAGGACUGUUACUUUGAAAAAAUUAGAGUGUUUAAAGCAGGCUCACGCUUGAAUACAUUAGCAUGGAAUAAUAAGAUAGGACGUUUAUCCUAUUUUGUUGGUUUCUAGGGUUGACGUAAUGAUUAAUAGGGAUAGUUGGGGGCAUUAGUAUUCAAUUGUCAGAGGUGAAGUUCUUGGAUUUAUUGAAGACUAACUACUGCGGAAGCAUUUGCCAAGGAUGUUUUCAUUAAUCAAGAACGAAAGUUAGGGGAUCGAAGACGAUCAGAUACCGUCGUAGUCUUAACCAUAAACUAUGCCGACUAGGGAUCGGAUGAUGUUAAUUUUUUAAUGACUCAUUCGGCGCCUUACGGGAAAC
rnacentral:rRNA from 1 species